UACGUAGGGUGCAAGCGUUAAUCGGAAUUACUGGGCGUAAAGCGUGCGCAGGCGGCUUUGUAAGUCUGUCGUGAAAGCCCCGGGCUUAACCUGGGAAUUGCGAUGGAGACUGCAAGGCUUGAAUCUGGCAGAGGGGGGUAGAAUUCCACGUGUAGCAGUGAAAUGCGUAGAUAUGCGGAGGAACACCGAUGGCGAAGGCAAUCCCCUGGGCCUGCACUGACGCUCAUGCACGAAAGCGUGGGGAGCAAACAGGAUUGAGAA
rnacentral:rRNA from 1 species